UACGGAGGGUGCAAACGUUGCUCGGAAUUAUUGGGCGUAAAGCGCACGUAGGCGGUCCCCUAAGUCGGGUGUGAAAGCCCAGGGCUCAACCCUGGAAGUGCACUCGAAACUGAGGGACUGGAGUACGGAAGAGGGUCUCGGAAUUCCCGGUGUAGAGGUGAAAUUCGUAGAUAUCGGGAGGAACACCAGUGGCGAAGGCGGAGACCUGGGCCGAUACUGACGCUGAGGUGCGAAAGCGUGGGGAGCAAACAGG
rnacentral:rRNA from 1 species